AUACGGAGGGUCCAAGCGUUAUCCGGAUUCAUUGGGUUUAAAGGGUGCGCAGGCGGGCUUGUAAGUCAGUGGUGAAAUACUGCCGCUUAACGGUAGAACUGCCAUUGAUAUUGCAAGUCUUGAAUAUGGUUGAGGUAGGCGGAAUGUGUUGUGUAGCGGUGAAAUGCAUAGAUAUGACACAGAACGCCAAUUGCGAAGGCAGCUUACUAAGCCAUUAUUGACGCUGAGGCACGAAAGCGUGGGGAGCGAACAGGAUUAGAAACCCUUGUAGUCC
rnacentral:rRNA from 1 species